AAUUAAUGAAAACAAAAAAACGUGAGAUUGGGAAAUUAGGGUUGAACGUGUGACCUUUGGAGUCUUGGAGUCAGACUUUCCCCUCUCUUCUUCCUAAAGCAAAACGGCGCCGGUAGCCUCAACCUUUCUCCGAUCAACAAGAUCCACAGCGCCGCUGUGAUGCCCUCAAGCGACGAACUUUGCGUGUCUCCGAUUAUCCUUCGCUUCGAAUCUACCGAAGAAAUCCGGAGCUUCUUCAAUCUCGGCAAGAGUACCGAUGACUUCGUCUGACCUUCUUCUAUUCAUUUCUCUACUUCUGAACCAUUGGCGUUACUAUAUGUUGAGGAGAUGACGUUGAAGAUAGAGUUAGAACCGCUAUGGCAGAUGAAGAUUGACGCGCGUGAAGAGCUAUUGCAGAGAGGUGAGGAUUGAUGAAGACUCUCGAUUGAAGAAUGAAGAUGAUGUGUGAAGUUGUUGUAGUUAAUUCUGAAGGUUCGUGAUGGUGAGGACUGAAGAUUGUUGGUGAAUUGAAGGUGAUGAUUGUGCUCUGAGGAAGAUGAAGAUUGAUUUUCAGUCGGAGUCUGACGGUGCUUCAACGGCAACGAAAAAUGGAGAGAAAUUCAGAGAAUCUUCAGGUCCUAGUUUGGUUUUCUGUGGCAGAUUGGAAUGUUGGAUACAAGCUUACUUGUAGUAUCAAGGUUUGUGGCAUGAAUGGGGGUCUUAUAGUAGCUGCAUUUGGCUCUGUUUUGCAUUGAUGCAGGGCUGAUCUUGAAUGGAUGUACUUUUGCUUUGGAUUUGCUAGGCAGCUAGCACUGAGUAGCUAAGGGGUAUGGUGUUGUUUGGAUUUGUUGAUCUUGGUAAGGGAAUGUAGGCAUUUAUGAAGAGCUGGUGCAGGUUUUGACAUAUGGGUUGUUUGAAUAUUUGCGUGGUUAUGUAUGGAGCUGACCCACCUAUGGAUUGUGGCAGGUUCUUUUGGAAGCUUUGCAAACUUUUGGGUAUGUUUCAAGUCAUGAAGGCAUUAUGGAGAAAAUUUUGGCAAAUGAUGAAGAAACAGCGAACCUGGUUGAAGAUGAUAGGUCUAGGUCAUUGUUGGGUUUGAGUCAAAGUUGGUCAACGGUUUGACUUAGUCAACUGUUGACCAAAAGUCAAAGUUGUUUUUUUGUAAUUUUCUUGACUUUGUUUUGUAGAUAACGGUGGACUCUUGAUCUUUGUAAUUAAAUCUGAUCUUGGUUUGAAUAAUGGAAUGUUGACUUUUUCAAGUAAA